UACGUAGGGGGCAAGCGUUGUCCGGAUUUAUUGGGCGUAAAGAGCGUGUAGGCGGCCAGGUAGGUCUGCUGUGAAAACUCGAGGCUCAACCUCGAGAUGUCGGCGGAAACCAUCUGGCUAGAGUCCGGAAGAGGAGAAUGGAAUUCCCGGUGUAGCGGUGGAAUGCGUAGAGAUCGGGAAGAACAUCGGUGGCGAAGGCGGCCUGCUGGGCUGUAGCUGACGCUGAGGCGCGACAGCGUGGGGAGCAAACAGG
rnacentral:rRNA from 1 species